AUUGAACGCUGGCGGCAGGCUUAACACAUGCAAGUCGAGCGAGCGGCGGACGGGUGAGUAAUGUCUGGGAAACUGCCUGAUGGAGGGGGAUAACUACUGGAAAAGGUAGAUAAUAACGCAUACCAUCAGAUGUGCCCGGAUGGGAUUAGCUAGUCGGUGGGGUAAUGGCUCACCUAGGCGACGCUCCCUAGCUGGUCUGAGAGGAUGACCAGCCACCCUGGAACUGAGACACGGUCCAGACUCCUACGGAAGGCAGCAGUGGGGAAUAUUGCACAAUGGGCGCAAGCCUGAUGCAGCCAUGCCGCUUGUGUGAAGAGGGCCUUCGGGUUGUAAAGCACGUUCAGCGAGGAGGCGUUACUCGCAGAAGAAGCACCGGCUAACUCCGUGCCAGCCGCCGCGGUAAUUC
rnacentral:rRNA from 1 species